rnacentral:rRNA from 1 species
GAAUUUUGGACAAUGGGCGAAAGCCUGAUCCAGCAAUGCCGCGUGCAGGAUGAAGGCCUUCGGGUUGUAAACUGCUUUUGUACGGAACGAAAAGCUUUGGGUUAAUACCCUGGAGUCAUGACGGUACCGUACGAAUAAUCCUCGGACCACUCCGUGCCAGCUGCCGCGGUAAUACGUAGGGUGCAAGCGUUAAGCGGAAUUACUGGGCGGAAAGCGUGCGCAGGCGGUUUUGUAAGACAGAGGUGAAAUCCCCGGGCUCAACCGGGGAACGGCCUUUGUGACUGCAAGGCUAGAGUACGGCAGAGGGGGGUGGAAUUCCGCGUGUAGCAGUGAAAUGCGUAGAUAUGCGGAGGAACACCGAUGGCGAAGGCAACCCCCUGGGCCUGUACUGACGCUCAUGCACGAAAGCGUGGGGUGCAAACAGG